UCAAAUAUCAUUUGACGUUCUUUGUGUAUCAAAAUGAUUGCAAGUAUUGGUUUCACACUAUCAUAAAACAAAUUUUAAAAUAACAAAUUAUCAUUUGACGUUCUUUGUGAAUCAAUGUGGCGUUGUACUAAAAUCAUAUUUGAAGAGUCUAUAUACGAAGGGUUUGAUGCCAAAAUAGAAGGGGAACAUUGAUGGACCACACUUCUCCUUGUAUUAUUAAAAUAAGCCAACAAAAUUUAGUAAAGACGAAAAUAAAUAAUAGUGUCACCCAACUUGUGGGGAAUAUAUAUCUAAAUUUUGCUGUGAUAGAGCGUGUUUUGUUUGAGUAGUUGAUUUCUCAAGUAAAUCACUUGCUUUAUAGUAAAAGAGAAAAACAUUUAGUCAUUUUGACCUACUACGUACCCAUCAUGAACACUGUGUUGCAAUUUUUAAGAGUCCAUUAAGAAAAUUACAAUUUUGUGCUCAUCUAUGCAUGUGUCAACCGCAAAAUCAUCAUAUAAUUUUACUAGCUACAGUCUCAUCACCAUAUAACCACUAAUCCGUAUAUACUUAUUAAGAGCCCAUACAAAAAUUUGUACAGAAACGUAGACGUCUGGUUUACUAGCUCCAUAAGUCAAUAUAAAAAUGGAAAACCAAAAGUUGGAAAAUAAUAUAAAAAUAAAUAAAUAAAUUUGAAGGGUCAGAAAGUGGAAACUAAAAGAUAAAUGAGUAUUAUUUAAAAUCAAGAGGAACACGAUCCAUUGACAAAAACCACAUUGCUCUCAACUUUUAGAGUGAGAGAGAGAUAGAGAGUUGAACAAAUUCUUCAUAGCAACUAGAGGAAGGAUCCAAAGGGAUCGCAUUGAUCCUAAUUAAGGUGAAUUCUCCCCAUAGUUUCUUUAUAAUUGGCAAAUAAAUCACAAAAAUUUGCUUGGUUUUGGAUCAUGCUAUCUCUUUGGAUUCAUCCUUC
rnacentral:precursor_RNA from 1 species